AAUAAGUGUAGUUUUGCACUGUUCAUGUCCAACGUUUGACCAUUUGCCUUAUUUAAAAUUUUUUAUGAUUAGUAUUUUUUAUUAGAUGAUAAAACAUGAAUUGGACUUUAUAUGUGACUUUUUUUUUAACUUUUUCAUAAUUUUUUUUAAAUAAGACGGACGGUCAAACGUUGGAUACGGAUUCCCACGGCUGCACUUAUU
rfam:Oryza rufipogon genomic scaffold, chr07